UGCAAGUCGAACGAGAACGGAUUAUAGCUUGCUAUAAUUGUCAGCUAAGUGGCGCACGGGUGAGUAAUGUAUAGGUAAUAUGCCUCUUACUAAGGGAUAACAAAUGGAAACGUUUGCUAAUACCUUAUACUCCUUAUUAACAGAAGUUAAUAAGGGAAAGAUUUAUUGGUAAGAGAUUAGCCUGUAUUGUAUCAGUUAGUUGGUGGGGUAAUGGCUUACCAAGACUAUGACACAUAACUGGUUUGAGAGGAUGAUCAGUCACACUGGAACUGAGACACGGUCCAGACUCCUACGGGAGGCAGCAGUGGGGAAUAUUGCACAAUGGACGAAAGUCUGAUGCAGCAACGCCGCGUGGAGGAUGACACAUUUCGGUGCGUAAACUCCUUUUAUAUGAGAAGAUAAUGACGGUAUUAUAUGAGUAAGCACCGGCUAACUCCGUGCCAGCAGCCGCGGUAAUACGGGGGGUGCAAGCGUUACUCGGAAUCACUGGGCGUAAAGAGCAUGUAGGCGGAUUAAUAAGUUUGAAGUGAAAUCCUAUAGCUUAACUAUAGAACUGCUUUGAAAACUGUUAAUCUAGAAUGUGGGAGAGGUAGAUGGAAUUUCUGGUGUAGGGGUAAAAUCCGUAGAGAUCAGAAGGAAUACCGAUUGCGAAGGCGAUCUACUGGAACAUUAUUGACGCUGAGAUGCGAAAGCGUGGGGA
rnacentral:rRNA from 1 species